rnacentral:lncRNA from 1 species
GAAUCAUGAUUGCUUGUUGUCGUCUGCCUUAUUGACUUAUUUCCGCGUGGCGUGCUUUAUUGAACUUGUUGGUUGGUUAAAAUGGUUAUGACCGAAGAAAAGAAACUUGAGUUGAUUUCUUUAUGACCAUUCCAUGAAAUAUUUGUUGUUAAGACUAUGUGAAAUGGAAAGAUUAGAAAAAAACGGACAUAGACAAACAAUAACAGAUUAUGCACACAUUAUGCAGGGAAAGGGAAUUUUUGACACAGACCUGUCAUUACAAAGUCCAAAACUACUUUAGCGUAAGGGCUGGAAGACCUGUCAAUUGAAGAAUGUCAAAAUUGUCGGAGAUAAAAAAAAGAAAACAGAAGAUGGAUGGUGACGUCUCUUACUAAAAGAUACAACACAGAAGAAUAUUGUUGAGUCUGGACCUUACCCCAACAAGGAUGGUGAAGGAGUCUUGUCCUGUCCUAUUUUCCAAUUGUUGACUCUCUAAAAAGAACAUCCCAAUGGAGAAGAACAUAUCUAAAAAGUUACAUGUCAGCAGUUUUCAGCUGCAAUGUUGUGGACAGAUCAAGCUGAAUUAUUCACAUCCAAAACAUCAAACAAAGAAAAAGUGAAUCAUAUAGUUGGAAAAUGUUUAGUGACUGUAUUCUAGGUAAUUGAAUUUGUACAAAUUUCUAUUUUCUAAGCUAAUAAAACUGUCUUUAUCUUUUGUGAUAACAAAUAAGCUAGGUGCAUUAUCUACGUUAUCUCCAAUAAAACCGAAUUAGGUCAAGA